UUUGUUUGGUGGCGAUAGCGAAGAGGUCACACCCGUUCCCAUACCGAACACGGAAGUUAAGCUCUUCAGCGCCGAUGGUAGUCGGGGGUUUCCCCCUGUGAGAGUAGGACGCCGCCAAGCAAG
rnacentral:rRNA from 3 species